CUGCUGUCACAUCGUUAGCUGUGCAUUUCUAAUAUGCAAUAUGUCUCUUCGCUUUAAUCCUUGUGAUUUUCCACUGGAUUCUUUUGAGUUUUGAUUCUGAGGUUCUUUUUUUUUUUUUUUUUUUUUUUAUGAGACAAAAUCUCGCUCUGUCACCCAGGCUGGAGUACACUGGCUCACUGCAACCUCCGCCUCCUGGCAAUUCUCAUGCCUCAGCCACCUGAGUAGCUGGGAUUACAGGCACGCACCAUCAUGCCUGGUUAAUUUUUGUAUUUUUAGUGGAGAGGGGGUUUGGCCAUUUUGGCCAGGCUGGUCUCAAACCCCUGGCCUCAAGUGAUCCCCACCCCACCCCCUCUGCACCGCCUCCGCCUCCCAAAGUGCUGAGAUUAUGGGCGUGAGCCAUCACAUCCGGCCUGAUUCUGAGGUUCUUAAUUAAGAAACAGAAAUCACGUCAGCUGAUGUGAGGCUUACGGAAAUUGGAUACUUUAGAGAGCCUCAAAGCUAACGUGAGACAGCAUCUUGGUUCUGCAAGGACGUGUCCUUCAACCCAACGCCCCCCACCCCCACCCAACCCCAAGCAAAUAUCCUGUUGAAGUCUCCGUGAACAAACAUCUAUCAACAGAAAAGCGAUAUGGAAUACAGGGCAUUGGCAGGCAGAGAUGUACCCUGUGGCUUGGGCUUUCUCUGCAAGGCCAGUGGGGAUGAAACCAAUAACAAAGACCCUGACUUUGCUUAAUGACCAAGACUCACUUAGAUAACAAACCGGCGCUGCUGUUGGCAGAGAGCCUUCUAGAUGCUCAGUACAGUGUGGCCUGUUAAAGUGGGAAGGAGGACUUGAAGGAAAGAGCUGUUUAAGUCAUAUUUUCUUACAGCCAAAGGAGAUUAUCUUCUCUUGGUUUGGACGGAUCAUUAUUUGUUACUGUUUAUUAUUAAUCGUGAUUUCCUGAGAACUUUUAUGUUCCGGAUACCGAAUCACAUACUUUAUAUUCACUCACUACAAUCCUGCAAAACUUUGUUGUUGAUUUUCUUUUUUUAAUAAAAGAGAAAACUCGGCCGGGCGCGGUGACUCACGCCUGUAAUCCCAGCACUUUGGGAGGCUGAGGCGGGUGGAUCACCAGGUCAAGAGUUCAAGACCAGCCUGGCCAAGAUGCUGAAACCCCGUCUCUACUAAAAAUACAAAAAAAAUAGCUGGGCGUGGUGGCGGGCGCCUGUAAUCCCAGCCACUCGGGAGGCUGAGGCAGAGAAUUGCUUGAACCCGGGAGGCAGAGGUUGCAGUGAGCCGAGAUCACGCCACUGCACUCCAGCCUGGGUGACAGAGCGAGACUCGUCUAAAAAAAAUAAAAUAAAGUAAAAUAAAAUAAAAGAGAAAACUGAGUUUCACAGAGGUUAAGUAAUUUGUCCAACGUUAUUACACAGCUUAUAAAUAGUACACCCGAAAUCCAAUCUUGGUAUGGCUAUAAAAUAACUUUUACUCUUUCCAUGAGGAACGUAUAGCUUAUGCCUUAUACAUUUCAAAUUGAAGGUGCCAGGUGGCUGUGGCUUAGAACAGGUGAGUUGGCCAUGGGAAAACAAAGUAAAUUAAUAAUUCACAUACGCUAUAAUAUCUGCUCUGAGUUUUUUUUUUUGUUGUUUGUUUGUUUUUUUUUUUUUGAGACGGAGUCUCGCUGUGUCGCCCAGGCUGGAGUGCAGUGGGGCGAUCUCGGCUCACUGCAAACUCCGCCUCCCGGUUUCACGCCGUUCUCCUGCCCUCAGCCUCCCGAGUAGGUGGGACUACAGGCGCCCGCCACCACGCUCGGCUACUUUUUUGUAUUUUUAGUAGAGACGGGGUUUCACUGUGUUAGCCAGGAUGGUCUCGAUCCUCUGAUCUCGUGAUCUGCCCGCCUCGGCCUCCCAAAGUGCUGGGAUUACAGGCGUGAACCACCGCGCCCGGCCAGAGCGUGGAGAUUCC
rnacentral:lncRNA from 1 species